GAUGAACGCUGGCGGCGUGCCUAAUACAUGCGAGUCGAGCGAACAGAUAAGGAGCUUGCUCCUUUGACGUUGGCGGCGGACGGGUGAGUAACACGUGGGUAACCUACCUAUAAGACUGGAAUAACUCCGGGAAACCGGGGCUAAUGCCGGAUAACAUUUAGAACCGCAUGGUUCUAAAGUGAAAGAUGGUUUUGCUAUCACUUAUAGAUGGACCCGCGCCGUAUUAGCUAGUUGGUAAGGUAACGGCUUACCAAGGCAACGAUACGUAGCCGACCUGAGAGGGUGAUCGGCCACACUGGAACUGAGACACGGUCCAGACACCUACGGGAGGCAGCAGUAGGGAAUCUUACGCAAUGGGCGAAAGCCUGACGGAGCAACGCCGCGUGAGUGAUGAAGGUCUUCGGAUCGUAAAACUCUGUUAUUAGGGAAGAAGAAAUGUGUAAGUAACUGUGCACGUCUUGACGGUACCGAAUCAGAAAGCCACGGCUAACUACGUG
rnacentral:rRNA from 1 species